rnacentral:lncRNA from 1 species
CUUUGGCAGAGCGGUGUCAUCGGGGGCCCUGUCAUUCCCUGCCACCUCUGCUCUGGCAUCAGGGGCUGAUGAGGGAGCACAAACACCUCGGAUCCAGGGCAGGGUGUGUUCAUCCCCCACUCCUGGAGGGAUGGAGAAGUGGCACCAAAAGCCAUCAUUCUGUGCCAUCAGAAGCCAUCCUGGAGGAGAAGUGGCCAGUGGAGAAGAUGCUGCACUGGGAAGCUGCAGAUCCUCUGCCGUGUUGUCCUGCUCUGAUCUAUGAUCCAACUCCCAAAGUUCUGCACUGCCAAAGGACUCUGAUAGAAGGUCAAGCUUGUUGAUUAUGAAAAAGUAAUUGAAAUUUGUUUUAUUGGGGCAGGGGAAGCAAGGGAAG